UCCGUAGGUGAACCUGAGGAAGGAUCAUG
rnacentral:rRNA from 1 species